UACGAAGGGGGCGAGCGUUGUUCGGAUUUACUGGGCGUAAAGGGCGCGUAGGCGGCGCCGCAAGUCGCGUGUGAAAGCCCCCGGCUCAACUGGGGAGGGUCACGCGAUACUGAUCGACUCGAAGGCAGGAGAGGGAAGUGGAAUUCCCGGUGUAGUGGUGAAAUGCGUAGAUAUCGGGAGGAACACCAGUGGCGAAGGCGACUUCCUGGCCUGUUCUUGACUGCUGAGGCGCGAA
rnacentral:rRNA from 1 species